GGCGACCGCAGGAGGAGCGGGGAGGAUCGCUGCCACUGAGGUCAGCAGCCGUCCGAGUCGGCAUGCUGCGUCUCCUGGUGGUGACGGCUCUGGUCGGGCUGGCCUGCGGGCAGUCGGCGUCGGGACCCGUAGACGCGGACGGCUCUGCGCCCACAGACGGCCUGCCCUCCACUGGAACAGACCAAGUGCAGCCUACGCUGAACACACCCAGACCGGGUGACUUUGCCGCAACCGUGCGGCUGUCCCCGAAGGUGACGCCUUCUCCCAUUCGGCCAACAAAAAUCAAGAGCCUCCUCAUCAGUGCACCUCAAAAGGUCGUCGAUGCGAUCCAGAAUUUGAAGAAGAAGCCACUGCCCACGACUCCACCGCCCACGACUCCACCGCCCACGACUCCACCGCCCACGACUCCACCGCCCACGACGCCA